rnacentral:rRNA from 1 species
GACGAACGCUGGCUGCGUGCUUAACACAUGCAAGUCGAACGAAGUGGCGAACGGGUGAGUAACGCGUAAUCAACCUGCCCUUCAGAGGGGGACAACAAUUGACAACGACUGCUAAUACCGCAUACUAAAUGAGGGGAUUUCGUCUGAUUAGCUAGUUGGAGGGGUAACGGCCCACCAAUGAGAUGCUCAGUAGGCGGUCUGGGUGGAUGAACGGCCAAAUUGGGACUGGGACACGGCCCAGACGCCUACGGGAGGCAGCAGUGGGGAAUGUUCCGAAAUGGACGUAAGUCUGACGGAGCAACGCAGCGUGAGUGAUGACGGCCUUCGGGUUGUAAAGCUCUGUUAAUCGGGACGCGGUACCGGAAUAGAAAGCCACGGCUAACUACGUGCCAGUCGCCGCGGUAAUUC